rnacentral:tRNA from 2 species
GGGCGUGCAGCUUUGUGGCCUUAGCUUUGCAAAAGCUAGUGAAAAGCUUUUGCUUUCACGCCCU